rnacentral:rRNA from 1 species
GAGGAAUAUUGGUCAAUGGGCGGAAGCCUGAACCAGCCAUCCCGCGUGCAGGAAGACGGCCCUAUGGGUUGUAAACUGCUUUUCCAGGGGGAGAAACUUUCCGAUGAAUCGGGAUUUGACGGUACCCUGGGAAUAAGCAUCGGCUAACUCCGUGCCAGCAGCCGCGGUAAUACGGAGGAUGCGAGCGUUAUCCGGAUUUAUUGGGUUUAAAGGGUGCGUAGGCGGAUCGAUAAGUCGGUGGUGAAAACCUGCAGCUUAACUGUAGACUUGCCGUUGAUACUGUUGGUCUUGAGUAUGGUCAAGGUAGGCGGAAUGUGUAAUGUAGCGGUGAAAUGCUUAGAUAUUACACAGAACACCGAUUGCGAAGGCAGCUUACUGGACCAUCACUGACGCUGAUGCACGAAAGCGUGGGGAUCGAACAGG